AAUUCGAUUGAGUUUGAUCAUGGCUCAGGAUAAACGCUGGCGGCGUGCAUGAGACAUGCAAGUCGAACGGACGAUCGAGGCUUGCUUCGAUCGUUAGUGGCGGACGGCUGAGUAACGCGUAGGUGACCUGCCCCGAAGUGGGGAAUAACUGCCCGAAAGGGUGGCUAAUACCGCAUGUGGUGGUGCGUUCAAUCGCACCAGUAAAGCCGCAAGGCGCUUCGGGAGGGGCCUGCGUCCGAUUAGCUCGUUGGUGGGGUAACGGCUCACCAAGGCGACGAUCGGUAGGUGGUCUGAGAGGACGAUCACCCAGACUGGGACUGAGACACGGCCCAGACUCCUACGGGAGGCAGCAGUCGGGAAUUUUGCGCAAUGGACGAAAGUCUGACGCAGCAACGCCGCGUGAGGGAUGAAGGCCUUCGGGUUGUAAACCUCUUUUAUCAGGGAAGAUAAUGACGGUACCUGAUGAAUAAGUCACGGCUAACUACGUGCCAGCAGCCGCGGUAAUACGUAGGUGACAAGCGUUGUCCGGAUUUACUGGGCGUAAAGAGCGCGCAGGCGGUCGUUCAAGUCGAGUGUGAAAGCCCCCGGCUCAACUGGGGAGGGUCAUUCGAUACUGAUCGACUCGAAGGCAGGAGAGGGUAGUGGAAUUCCCGGUGUAGUGGUGAAAUGCGUAGAUAUCGGGAGGAACACCAGUGGCGAAGGCGUCUA
rnacentral:rRNA from 1 species